rnacentral:rRNA from 1 species
GUGGGGAAUCUUAGACAAUGGGCGCAAGCCUGAUCUAGCCAUGCCACGUGAGCGAUGAAGGCCUUAGGGUUGUAAAGCUCUUUCAGCUGGGAAGAUAAUGACGGUACCAGCAGAAGAAGCCCCGGCUAACUCCGUGCCAGCAGCCGCGGUAAUACGGAGGGGGCUAGCGUUGUUCGGAAUUACUGGGCGUAAAGCGCACGUAGGCGGAUCAGAAAGUCAGAGGUGAAAUCCCAGGGCUCAACCUUGGAACUGCCUUUGAAACUCCUGAUCUUGAGGUCGAGAGAGGUGAGUGGAAUUCCGAGUGUAGAGGUGAAAUUCGUAGAUAUUCGGAGGAACACCAGUGGCGAAGGCGGCUCACUGGCUCGAUACUGACGCUGAGGUGCGAAAGCGUGGGGAGCAAACAGGAUUAGAUACCCCGGUAGUCC